UGCCUAACACAUGCAAGUCGUACGAGAGUUUUUAACUCUAGUGGCGGACGGGUGAGUAACACGUGAGAAUUUGCCUUUAGGAGGGGGAUAACAAUUGGAAACGAAUGCUAAUACCCCAUAUGCUUUUGAGUGAAAUGGAUUUAUAUUUAUCCGCCUAGAGAGAAGCUCGCGGCUGAUUAGCUUGUUGGUAAGGUAAGAGCUUACCAAGGCGACGAUCAGUAUCUGGUUUGAGAGGACGAUCAGACACACUGGAACUGAGACACGGUCCAGACUCCUACGGGAGGCAGCAGUGGGGAAUUUUCCGCAAUGGGCGAAAGCCUGACGGAGCAAUACCGCGUGAGGGAAGACUGCCUAUGGGUUGUAAACCUCUUUUUUCAGGGAGGAAUAAAAUGACGUGUACCUGAAGAAUAAGCAUCGGCUAACUCCGUGCCAGCAGCCGCGGUAAGACGGAGGAUGCAAGUGUUAUCCGGAAUCACUGGGCGUAAAGCGUCUGUAGGUGGUUUAAUAAGUCUACUGUUAAAUCUUGAGGCUCAACUUCAAAAUCGCAGUCGAAACUAUUAGACUAGAGUAUAGUAGAGGUAAAGGGAAUUUCCAGUGGAGCGGUGAAAUGCGUAGAUAUUGGAA
rnacentral:rRNA from 1 species